UACGUAGGGGGCAAGCGUUAUCCGGAUUUACUGGGUGUAAAGGGAGCGUAGACGGCGGUACAAGUCUGAAGUGAAAGGCAUGGGCUCAACCUGUGGACUGCUUUGGAAACUGUAGUGCUAGAGUGUCGGAGAGGCAAGUGGAAUUCCUAGUGUAGCGGUGAAAUGCGUAGAUAUUAGGAGGAACACCAGUGGCGAAGGCGGCUUGCUGGACGAUGACUGACGUUGAGGCUCGAAAGCGUGGGGAGCAA
rnacentral:rRNA from 1 species